rnacentral:rRNA from 1 species
UGGGGAAUAUUGGACAAUGGGGGCAACCCUGAUCCAGCAAUGCCGCGUGAGUGAAGAAGGCCUUCGGGUUGCAAAGCUCUUUUGUCAGGGAAGAAACGGUAGUAGCGAAUAACUAUUACUAAUGACGGUACCUGAAGAAUAAGCACCGGCUAACUACGUGCCAGCAGCCGCGGUAAUACGUAGGGUGCAAGCGUUAAUCGGAAUUACUGGGCGUAAAGCGUGCGCAGGCGGUUGUGUAAGUCAGAUGUGAAAUCCCCGGGCUCAACCUGGGAACUGCAUUUGUGACUGCCAGACUAGAGUGUAGCAGAGGGGGGUAGGAUUCCACGUGUAGCAGUGAAAUGCGUAGAUAUGUGGAGGAAUACCGAUGGCGAAGGCAGCCCCCUGGGAUAACACUGACGCUCAUGCACGAAAGCGUGGGGAUCAAACAGGAUUAGAUACCCACGUAGUCCCUGAGCGGGCUGGCAAGGCGCAU